ACUCCUACGGGAGGCAGCAGUGGGGGAUAUUGCGCAAUGGGCGAAAGCCUGACGCAGCGACGCCGCGUGGGUGAUGAAGGCCUUCGGGUCGUAAAGCCCUGUCGAGGGGGACGAAUCGGUUGCGACCUAACACGUCGUGAUCCUGACGGUACCCCUAAAGGAAGCACCGGCUAACUCCGUGCCAGCAGCCGCGGUAAUACGGAGGGUGCGAGCGUUGUUCGGAAUCACUGGGCGUAAAGCGCGUGUAGGCGGCCCACUAAGUCUGAUGUGAAAGCCCGGGGCUCACCCCCGGAAGUGCAUUGGAAACUGGUGGACUCGAGUCCCGGAGAGGAGAGUGGAAUUCCUGGUGUAGCGGUGAAAUGCGUAGAUAUCAGGAGGAACACCGGUGGCGAAGGCGGCUCUCUGGACGGUGACUGACGCUGAGACGCGAAAGCGUGGGGAGCAAACAGGAUUAGAUACCCUGGUAGUCCACGCCGUAAACGAUGAGCACUAGGUGUCGCGGGUAUUGACCCCUGCGGUGCCGACGCUAACGCAUUAAGUGCUCCGCCUGGGGAAUACGGCCGCAAGGUUAAAACUCAAAGGAAUUGACG
rnacentral:rRNA from 1 species